ACCAGAUUUUAAACCAAUCAUUUUUAAUUAUGAAAUCCCUUUGGUUUUUAGUGACAAGUUCAUUAGCUUUGAAUUAAAAUUAAUUAGUUAAUCUUACCGAAUGGAAUCGUGAUGCUGGACCAGAUAAUUUGAAUGCAGAUUCCCUUCUUGCUCCCAUUACCACUUCAGCACUUACUGCCCAAGCAACAACUCCUAGUGAUUAAAAUAGGGAAAAGGUUAAUUCGAGAUGGUACCAAUGAAACUUGGAUCGGUAAUGAUGAUUGAACGAUUAAUAUUUACCUAUGAUGGCUGCAAGUGCUGGCAAUAAAAGACCUAAUGAAAGUAUCCAUCUCAUUCGUGUUUUGGCUUGUUCAUUGGAUGCAUCUGAUCCUGGUGUUGAUCUUCCAGCUGAAGAUGGUGAUCGACCACGGUGGUGAUGAUGGGAUCGCAUGUGUGAAUGAUGUCCAUGAUGGUGACUUCGACCACAGCUUCCCUCUGCAAUUAAAUUUGAUGGUCGAGGCAUAGCAGUUGAUAUUUGGUUGAUUUGAAAAUUAAAUUUUCAAUGGUAAAGCAAACAGUAGCAAAAGGAAACAAAUGAAGGAAAAUUAAUAUCAAGACGACAACUCAAUAUUUAAUCCUUAUCAGCCGCACAAUGGACGUUUGAUUGUUGGAUUUUUUUUCAAUUCAAUCCACAAUUUAUUAUUCAAAAUUGAAGACAAUUAAACAAAGACACACACGCAUUUUAAUAAUGAACAAGUGUACAUAUGGCAAACAAUGACAAGUGGACAAUUGGAUUAAAAAAACCAAACGGAAUCCUACAUUCGAUGGACAAGAAAGAAACAACUAAAAAAGGUCGAUCGAGAGAAAGAACCAAUCGAUGAUGAAAAGUGUUUAAUUAAAAAAGCACAUGAAGUAAAAGUUUAAAUCCAAAUAGUGACCAUUGAACACACAAUAAGCCAAAUGAGAAACUUGAAGAGUCUGGUCCGUUUAACGUUUGAUUUGGUUUGAACGAUAAGUUACUUUAAACUGACGGACAGAGUGAUAUUAAAUCUAGAAGGAUGUUACCUUCAUAUUGACUUUGGGUUAACUUAAAAUAGAAUCAUCAUUCAACUCUCUCUCGCUCUUUCUCAGCCUCAUCUUCAUCAUCUUUGACUCUUCCUUCUAAAGUCCAUUUAGCCUCUCUCUCUCCAUCGUUAUUCAUCCCCUCCAUCCUCAUCAUCAUGGACUCAUCUUGAAGACCUACUUUUAAACGUUAACCUCUCUUUUGGCGAUAUUGUGUCACGGCAUUAGAAAGAAGGAGAAAAGAAAGAUGAUGAGAAAGAAAGGAAAGAAAUAUUUACUCUUACUGAUCAUCAAAAAGAUGAUCAACUGUGAAUUAAGAUUGAAUGAAACAAAUCAUAAAUUGGGUAAACAGUUAUUUUACUUCACAUGAGGCUAAUCUCACUGCGAUAAAUGUUGAUCAUCAUUCAUUGAUUAACUCAUUUCAUAUAAAUUUAACCACUUUCUCUCUCUUUCUCUCUUUCUCCUUUCAUCACCAAAAUAAUAUUUAAAUUUUGUAAAAUUUUCAAUCAACUCCAAUCACUUUUCAUCAUAAAUAUGAAUUGUAAUCUAAAAAGCAACUCCAAUUGUUUCAACUUGCUUUAAACGUUUAGCUCUGUAAACCUUUUAAUGUUAAUGGUUGACAUUGUUUUAAUAUUUUCCCAUAAUUUUACUCUAAUUAGAUUAAACACAAUUAGACAAUUAAGAAUGUACUUUGAAAUAGUAAAAUAAGUAAACUGAAAAAUCUGCUAAUCAACUGGAUCAAUUGAAGUAAA